rnacentral:rRNA from 1 species
UACGUAGGGUGCGAGCGUUGUCCGGAAUUUAUUGGGCGUAAAGGGCUCGUAGGCGGUUUGUCGCGUCGGGGAGUGAAAACACCGGGCUUUAACUCGGUGCUUGCUUUCGAUACGGGCAGACUAGAGGCAUGCAGGGGAGAACGGAAUUCCUGGUGUAGCGGUGAAAUGCGCAGAUAUCAGGAGGAACACCGGUGGCGAAGGCGGUUCUCUGGGCAUGUCCUGACGUGAGGAGCGAAAGUGUGGGGAGCGAACAGG